rnacentral:rRNA from 1 species
CUACGGAGAGUUUGAUCCUGGCUCAGAACUAACGCUAGUGGCGUGUCUUAGUCAUGCAAGUCGAACGAGAAAGCUCUCUUCGGAGGGUGAGUAAAGUGGCGAACGGGUGAGUAACGCGUGGGUAACCUACCUCAGAGUUGGGGAUAACACUCCUAACGGAGUGCUAAUACCGAAUGUGAGGCCGAGAUCUUGGUUUCGGCCUGAAAGAUGGCCUCUGCUUGCAUGCUGUCGCUUAAAGAUGAGCCCGCGUCCUAUUAGCUUGUUGGUGGGGUAAUGGCCUACCAAGGCAACGAUGGGUAGCCGGCCUGAGAGGGUGAACGGCCACACUGGGACUGAGAUACGGCCCAGACUCCUACGGGAGGCAGCAGUGGGGAAUUUUGCGCAAUGGGGGAAACCCUGACGCAGCAACGCCGCGUGA